GGGUGUAGGUUAAAAAGUGUCAAUUUACACCUGUUACUGCGAGAGGUCCCGGGUUCAAAUCCCGGACGAGCCCCCA